AAAAAGUUGUGUAUAGAACAUCAUGUUGAACAGGAUGAGAAGAAAACUUUCAGAUGUUAGGACUUCUCAGACAACAGACACUCCGUCCAGCUUCAACUGUAUGCACUCGUCUCC